rnacentral:lncRNA from 1 species
UGGGAUAUCCCAUGCUGGGUGCCUUAAUCCAUCACAUGUAAUACUUCCAGCAAAUCUAGGAUAUCCAUAGGUGGCAUUUUUCUCUAUUGUAAGGUAAGGAAAUUGAGGUCCAGAUGAAAACUCUAUCUUAUUUGCAGCUGCAAUAUAAAAAUAUUUCUGGCGAAGUUCUCCAUUCCUUAAAUAGUGAAAUUGGCCAUUUUAGGUUAGUUUAGUGGCAGAAAAAUGGAAUGGAGGGGACAUGGCUGGAAACAAGAAGGGUUAGGAAACCAUGGCUGUGGACAAGGUAUGAGGCAAUGACCGCUAGGCCUGGGAUAGUGGCAAGGGGCAUGGGGAGCAAGAGGCAAACAUAAGAGAUAUUUCAGAGGCUAUUGAGGGUAAAUGAGAAGGACAAGUCAAGGAUAAUUUUGAGGUUAAUUAUCUGCUA